ACUGCAACCCAAAACGCCAGGCCCAUCUCGAAGUUCCUGAGUCCAAAUCCAAACUCCAAAACGCAAAACUCUCUCGCAGGUAGAGAGACAGAGUCUUCUCCACCAGAACUCCGUCUACUCUUGAGCUGUUGAAAAUGAAGUUUCUGGACUGGUAUGUAAAGAUUGCCCUCGGGUCGGCUCUGAUUGGAGCUUCCAUGGAGUUUUUCAUGAUCAAAACCGGCUUCUAUGACAAAGUAACUGUUUUGGAGUCAGAGAAACGGGCUUGGGAGAAUUCACCGGAGGCUCAGGCAAUCAGAGAUGCUCUGAAUCCUUGGAAAAAUCGUGAUGCAGAAGCGAGGAAAGAAUCCUAAGUUGGAUGGUAGCAUGUUCAUAAGGAAGAAGAUAACAUUAUUAGCAUGGGAUCAUUCUGAAAAUACUGACAAGAAAUUUCACUGUUUCUUCUGAGUAGAACAAAGUGAGAGAUGACCUUGAUCAACCUGAAACUUAUUUCAUUCCUCCGAUUUCUGUAAUUUCUAUUCUUGUUGUCCUGGUUACUUGAUCAACAAUUUUGAUUAAUAUGUUCAUGUAGCCUUUUCGAUUGGUUCUUGUAAGCAACUACAGUUCCGAAUGAUUGAAAAAAAAGUUCUGUUACUCGUAAACCUUUAGCAUGUGUGCCAUGGCUAUGAAGCUAAAACCUUUGCGCCAUGGAAGAAUAGCUUGUACUAUCUGGCCGACAUUUUUAUUGCCUCUCUAAGUAAAUUCAGGGUGUUCAAUCAACCUGACUGUUGCUUUGAUAA